rnacentral:rRNA from 1 species
UACGGAGGGUGCGAGCGUUAAUCGGAAUUACUGGGCGUAAAGCGUGCGUAGGUGGUUGAAUAAGUUAUGUGUGAAAUCCCUGGGCUCAACCUGGGCAGGUCAUAUAAUACUGUUUGACUCGAGUAUGGGAGAGGGUAGUGGAAUUUCCGGUGUAGCGGUGAAAUGCGUAGAGAUCGGAAGGAACACCAGUGGCGAAGGCGGCUACCUGGCCUAAUACUGACACUGAGGCACGAAAGCGUGGGGAGCAAACAGG